CGUAGGCGGGAUGGCAAGUCGGUCGUGAAAUCCUUCGGCUCAACCGAAGAACGUCGAUCGAUACUGCUGUUCUUGAGGAUUGCAGAGGAGACUGGAAUUCCCGGUGUAGCGGUGAAAUGUGUAGAGAUCGGGAGGAACACCGGUGGCGAAGGCGGGUCUCUGGGCAAUUCCUGACGCUGAGGCGCGAAAGCGUGGGGAGCAAACG
rnacentral:rRNA from 1 species